rnacentral:rRNA from 1 species
GACGAACGCUGGCGGCGUGCUUAACACAUGCAAGUCGAACGGAAAGGCCCUGCUUGCAGGGUACUCGAGUGGCGAACGGGUGAGUAACACGUGGGUGAUCUGCCCUGCACUUCGGGAUAAGCUUGGGAAACUGGGUCUAAUACCGGAUAGGAACCAUCUUUAGUGUGGUGGUUGGAAAGUUUUUUCGGUGUAGGAUGAGCUCGCGGCCUAUCAGCUUGUUGGUGGGGUAAUGGCCUACCAAGGCGGCGACGGGUAGCCGGCCUGAGAGGGUGUACGGCCACAUUGGGACUGAGAUACGGCCCAGACUCCUACGGGAGGCAGCAGUGGGGAAUAUUGCACAAUGGGCGGAAGCCUGAUGCAGCGACGCCGCGUGGGGGAUGAAGGCCUUCGGGUUGUAAACUCCUUUCGCUAGGGACGAAGCUUUGUUGUGACGGUACCUAGAUAAGAAGCACCGGCUAACUACG